CCCAGAGUGCUAGGAUUACAGGCGUGAGCCACCACCCUUGGCCUCUUUAUUUUAAAUAUAAAGUUACUCUAGUUUGUUUAUUUCUAACACCUUUCUUCCAACAGCUCAGAAAAUAGAAGUGACUAAUAGAGCCACAGGCCAUGAGUAUUUUCAGCAUUUAGAACAUCAGACCUCAAAGUCAAAUACUAAAGAAUCUCCUAACAGUUAAGUUUCCCAGGACACCUCUUAGUUCAUGAACCUUUUCUUCCUUGUCACAGGACCCAGCAAUCCUUUCUAAUCUCCUCUCCACUCAGAGACUGAUGCCACCCACUCUUUCCCUUGAGGAGUUCCAGUCAUUCCAUCAAUCACGCAUUUACCUGGCACUGAAGAAUGUGUUAAGAACUAGGGACUCUACUCGCAAGUGUUUUCUUUUUCCUCUUCCGGGGUCGCUGUCUGCAGGCACUCAAAAUGGUCCAACGUUUGACAUAUCGCUGUAGGCUUUCCUACAACACAGCCUCUAACAAAACUAGGCUGUCCUGAACCCCUGGUAAUAGAAUUGUUUGCCUUUAUACCAAGAAGGUUGGGAAAGCACCAAAAUCUGCAUGUGGUGUGUACCCAGGUCGACUUCGAGGGGUUCAUGCUGUGAGACCUAAAGUUCUUAUGAGGUUGUCUAAAACAAAAAAACAUGUCAGCAGGGCCUAUGGUGGUUCCAUGUGUGCUAAAUGUGUUCGUGACAGGAUCAAGUGUGCUUUCCUUAUCGAGGAGCAGAAAAUCGUUGUGAAAGUGUUGAAGGCACAAGCACAGAGCCAGAAAGCUAAAUAAGAAAAUGAACCUUUUUUGAGGAAUAAAAAUUAAAAG